rnacentral:rRNA from 1 species
UACGUAGGUGGCAAGCGUUGUCCGGAAUUAUUGGGCGUAAAGCGCGCGCAGGCGGUUAUGUAAGUCUGAUGUUAAAGCCCGGGGCUCAACCUCGGUGCGCAUUGGAAACUGCGUAACUUUAGUGCAGAAGAGGAAAGUGGUAUUCCACGUGUAGCGGUGAAAUGCGUAGAUAUGUGGAGGAACACCAGUGGCGAAGGCGACUUUCUGGUUUUUAAAUGGCGCUGAGGCGCGAAAGCGUGGGGAGUAAACAGG